rnacentral:rRNA from 1 species
CCUACGGGAGACAGCAGUGGGGAAUAUUGGACAAUGGGCGAAAGCCUGAUCCAGCCAUGCCGCGUGUGUGAAGAAGGCCUUCGGGUUGUAAAGCACUUUCAGUGGGGAAGAAAGCCUUGGGGCUAAUACCCUCGAGGAAGGACAUCACCCACAGAAGAAGCACCGGCUAACUCCGUGCCAGCAGCCGCGGUAAUACGGAGGGUGCGAGCGUUAAUCGGAAUUACUGGGCGUAAAGCGCGCGUAGGCGGUCUGAUAAGCCGGUUGUGAAAGCCCCGGGCUCAACCUGGGAACGGCAUCCGGAACUGUCAGGCUAGAGUGCAGGAGAGGAAGGUAGAAUUCCCGGUGUAGCGGUGAAAUGCGUAGAGAUCGGGAGGAAUACCAGUGGCGAAGGCGGCCUUCUGGACUGACACUGACGCUGAGGUGCGAAAGCGUGGGUAGCAAACAGGAUUAGAUACCCUAGUAGUC